CAGCAGCCGCGGGAAUACAGAGGGUGCGAGCGUCAAUCGGAUUUACUGGGCGUAAAGCGUGCGUAGGCGGCUUUUUAAGUCGGAUGUGAAAUCCCUGAGCUUAACUUAGGAAUUGCAUUCGAUACUGGGAAGCUAGAGUAUGGGAGAGGAUGGUAGAAUUCCAGGUGUAGCGGUGAAAUGCGUAGAGAUCUGGAGGAAUACCGAUGGCGAAGGCAGCCAUCUGGCCUAAUACUGACGCUGAGGUACGAAAGCAUGGGGAGCAAACAGGAUUAGAUACCCGUGUAGUCCCUGUCUCUUAUAC
rnacentral:rRNA from 1 species